rnacentral:rRNA from 1 species
GAUGAACGCUAGCGGCAGGCUUAAUACAUGCAAGUCGAGGGGCAGCAUGAUUGUAGCAAUACAAUUGAUGGCGACCGGCAAACGGGUGCGGAACACGUACACAACCUCCCAAUAAGUGGGGAAUAGCCCAGAGAAAUUUGGAUUAAUACCCCGUAACAUAACGAUGUGGCAUCACAUUGUUAUUAUAGAUUUUUCGCUUAUUGAUGGGUGUGCGGCUGAUUAGAUAGUUGGCGGGGUAACGGCCCACCAAGUCUACGAUCAGUAGCUGAUGUGAGAGCAUGAUCAGCCACACGGGCACUGAGACACGGGCCCGACUCCUACGGGAGGCAGCAGUAAGGAAUAUUGGACAAUGGACGCAAGUCUGAUCCAGCCAUGCCGCGUGAAGGAUUAAGGUCCUCUGGAUUGUAAACUUCUUUUAUAAGGGACGAAAAAAGGCUUUUCUAAGUCGUCUGACGGUACCUUAUGAAUAAGCACCGGCUAACUCCGUGCCAGCCGCCGCGGUAACAC